rnacentral:rRNA from 1 species
GACGAACGCUGGCGGCGUGCUUAACACAUGCAAGUCGAACGGAAAGGCCCUGCUUUUGUGGGGUGCUCGAGUGGCGAACGGGUGAGUAACACGUGAGUAACCUGCCCUUGACUUUGGGAUAACUUCAGGUAACUGGGGCUAAUACCGGAUAGGAGCUCCUGCUGCAUGGUGGGGGUUGGAAAGUUUCGGCGGUUGGGGAUGGACUCGCGGCUUAUCAGCUUGUUGGUGGGGUAGUGGCUUACCAAGGCUUUGACGGGUAGCCGGCCUGAGAGGGUGACCGGCCACAUUGGGACUUAGAUACGGCCCAGACUCCUACGGGAGGCAGCAGUGGGGAAGAUUGCACAAUGGGCGGAAGCCUGAUGCAGCAACGCCGCGUGCGGGAUGACGGCCUUCGGGUUGUAAACCGCUUUCGCCUGUGACGAAGCGUGAGUGACGGUAAUGGGUAAAGAAGCACCGGCUAACUACGUG